rnacentral:rRNA from 1 species
CCUACGGGAGGCAGCAGUGGGGAAUAUUGGACAAUGGGGGGAACCCUGAUCCAGCGACGCCGCGUGAGUGAAGAAGUAUUUCGGUAUGUAAAGCUCUAUCAGCAGGGAAGAAAGAAAUGACGGUACCUGACUAAGAAGCCCCGGCUAACUACGUGCCAGCAGCCGCGGUAAUACGUAGGGGGCAAGCGUUAUCCGGAUUUACUGGGGGUAAAGGGAGCGUAGACGGCGAUGCAAGUCUGAAGUGAAAGGCGGGGGGCCAACCCCCGGACUGCUUUGGAAACUGUAUGGCUGGAGUGCAGGAGAGGUAAGUGGAAUUCCUAGGGUAGCGGUGAAAUGCGUAGAUAUUAGGAGGAACACCAGUGGCGAAGGCGGCUUACUGGACUGUAACUGACGUUGAGGCUCGAAAGCGUGGGGAGCAAACAGGAUUAGAUACCCUAGUAGUC